AACUUCCAUCCCGCAAUUCCGCUGAACUCGGCCCGAAAAGCCCCCUCUUGCCUCAAUUCCCCGAAGUAAAUCUGAGCUUUGUGCAGCUCCGGAGCCAGAGCGUCCAGAUGCGGUCCGGGAGAUUAGCAAAGUCGGUGGAAGCCAAGCUGGAGAAAGCGCGGGCGCAGGGAGAAAAGUAGCCCCAAGUGCCCUGCAUUUGCUCUUCUAACAAAGUUCUGUUUGUUGACGGACUGACCGGCUUACCGACACAAAGAUGGGAAGCAAAUGGAGAGACGGAUCAAGGCCCUUCCUCGGCAUCUGGAGGAAGCUUGGGCGAGUGUCUUGGUCGCCA
rnacentral:lncRNA from 1 species